CGCACAUUGCGCCCUUUGGUAUUCCGAGGGGCACGCCUGUUCGAGCGUCAUUUAAAACAUCAAGCACAGCUUGGUUCUUGGGUGAGUCUACAGACCCGCCUGUAACCGAUUGGCGGUACCGUCCGGCUCCCAGCGUAGCAAGUUAAAACUCGCUUUGGGGUCAGGCCGGGAUGCCAUUGCACCUAGCUUCAGAGCACACCAAGUUUGACCUCGGAUCAGGUGGGGAUACCCGCUGAACUUAA
rnacentral:misc_RNA from 1 species